GUGAUGUUAACUGAGGACAUUAAAGUGGCCCUGAGACCAAAAGCUAAUGUUCAAAAUGGCCUAAUCGAAAGACACGAAAUUUCAAAAGUAGUGAGAGGCCUAAUGGAAGGCAAAGAAGGGAAGAAGGUCCGCAACAGAAUGAAGGACCUUAAAGACGCAGCUGACAGGGUUCUCAGCGAAGAAGGCUCAUCUACAAAGGCAAUCUCUGGGUUGGCUCUCAAAUGGAAGAACCAAAUUUGCAACUAAAAGGAAAAUUUCUAGAUAUUAUAGUUUUUAGUAGUCCUAUAAUAACAGAUAAAUGGAAAUUGCAGCUUCUAGCUUUUACUCCUCCUCCUAGAUAAAAAUUUGCCUUUUGUAUUUAAUUACUUGUAGGUUUCCAGGUUCUUGUUGCAUAUGUGUGGUCCAAUCCACGUGCUUGUACAAUUCUUGUCCACAGCUUGAAUACAUAUUAGACAUGGUUUAUUCAGCGA
rnacentral:misc_RNA from 1 species